CGGGCAGUAGCUCAGUGGGAGCUCCCGCUUCGUACGCGGAAAGACCUGGGUUCGAUUCCCGGUUGCUUAC
rnacentral:tRNA from 1 species